UGGUUUACCAGACCCGGAAGGCGCGGGCCUUAGUGGCGGACGGGUGAGUAACGCGUGGGGAACCUGCCCCGUACCGGGGGAUAACACCUGGAAACAGGUGCUAAUACCGCAUAACAGAAGGGGACGCAUGUUUCUUUCUUGAAAACUCCGGUGGUACGGGAUGGACCCGCGUCUGAUUAGCUGGUUGGCGGGGUAACGGCCCACCAAGGCGACGAUCAGUAGCCGGCCUGAGAGGGUGAACGGCCACAUUGGGACUGAGACACGGCCCAAACUCCUACGGAAGGCAGCAG
rnacentral:rRNA from 1 species